CACGGAGGGGGCUAGCGUUGUUCGGAAUACUGGGCGUAAAGCGCACGUAGGCGGCUUUGCAAGUUAGAGGUGAAAGCCCGGGGCUCAACUCCGGAAUUGCCUUUAAAACUGCAUCGCUAGAAUUGUGGAGAGGUAAGUGGAAUUCCGAGUGUAGAGGUGAAAUUCGUAGAUAUUCGGAAGAACACCAGUGGCGAAGGCGACUUACUGGACACAUAUUGACGCUGAGGUGCGAAAGCGUGGGGAGCAAACAGG
rnacentral:rRNA from 1 species